AUUGAACGCUGGCGGCAUGCCUAACACAUGCAAGUCGAACGGCAGCACGGGUGUUUCCCCCUGGUGCCGAGUGGCGCACGGGUGAGUAACCCAUGAGUACGCGUCCUAUUGGGGGGGAACGCCCGGAGAAAGCCGGUUUUAUAGCGCACACGCUGAACGGGAGAAAGGGGGGGAUUUGGACGUCUCGCGCUCUAGUGAUCGUAGAUGGCUGAUUAGCUAGUUGGUGGGGUAAAGGCCUACCAAGGCGACGAUCAGUAGCUGGUCUGAGAGGACGACCAGACACACUGGAACUGAGACACGGCCCAGACUCCUACGGGAGGCAGCAGUGGGGAAUAUUGGACAAUGGGCGAAAGCCUGAUCCAGCAAUGCCGCGUGUGUGAAGAAGGCCUUCGGGUUGUAAAGCACUUUUGGUUGGGAGGAAGGGCAUUAACUUAAUACGUUGCGGGUUUGACGGUACCGGAAGAAUAAGCACCGGCUAACUACGUG
rnacentral:rRNA from 1 species